rnacentral:rRNA from 1 species
AUUGAACGCUGGCGGCAUGCUUUACACAUGCAAGUCGAACGGUAACAGGGUGCUUGCACCGCUGACGAGUGGCGAACGGGUGAGUAAUGCGUCGGAACGUGCCGAGUAGUGGGGGAUAACGCAGCGAAAGUUGUGCUAAUACCGCAUACGUACUGAGGUAGAAAGUGGGGGACCUUCGGGCCUCACGCUAUUCGAGCGGCCGACGUCUGAUUAGCUAGUAGGUGAGGUAAAGGCUCACCUAGGCGACGAUCAGUAGCGGGUCUGAGAGGAUGAUCCGCCACACUGGGACUGAGACACGGCCCAGACUCCUACGGGAGGCAGCAGUGGGGAAUUUUGGACAAUGGGCGAAAGCCUGAUCCAGCCAUGCCGCGUGAGUGAAGAAGGCCUUCGGGUUGUAAAGCUCUUUCGGCGGGGAAGAAAUGGCAACGGCUAAUAUCCGUUGUUGAUGACGGUACCCGCAUAAGAAGCACCGGCUAACUACGUGCCAGCAGCCGCCGAAACAC